UUAAGUCUGUGUAUGUGUGCGCGUGGUUAAGAGGGAGAAAGGAGAAGAAAAUAGUUCUUCAUCUUACAUCAAUAAAAUUCAGCAAUUGGUAAAAGAAAAUGGAUGGAUCAUAUGCAUGAACCCUAAUAUUGAUCAACUAAGCUUUUGCAACAAAAGAGAUGAAGGAAGAAGUGUCGAGCCACACGAAGCAACAAGGAGCCCAAGACCAAGGUAAAACCGCACUUUGAGCGGACUCGCGAUGCUUGGAACGAACACACGCGCAAGCUUCCUUCUUGCCCUUAAUGCGCUUCCGAAAUAACUUAUGUUAUGGGUCAAAACGUUUGGUUGUCUAUAUAGUUAAAAUCUAGUGAUUAAUUAUGUUCCAAAACAUGUACUUUAUAAUUUUUGUAAAAUGGUAAAUGGUUAAAUCUGGCGUUAAGAACUUAGCUUUGUAUAUUUUGAUCAAAUAUUUAAGUAAAGUUUAAAAGUUCAA
rnacentral:lncRNA from 1 species